UAGGGAAUCUUCCACAAUGGGCGAAAGCCUGAUGGAGCAACGCCGCGUGUGUGAUGAAGGGUUUCGGCUCGUAAAACACUGUUGUAAGAGAAGAAUGACAUUGAGAGUAACUGUUCAAUGUGUGACGGUAUCUUACCAGAAAGGAACGGCUAAAUACGUGCCCG
rnacentral:rRNA from 1 species